rnacentral:tRNA from 1 species
GGAGAGAUGGCCGAGUUGGUCGAAGGCGUCAGAUUCGAAAUCUGAUGUACGGGCAACCGUACCGGGGGUUCGAAUCCCUCUCUCUCCG